GGGAGCCGAAGGGAAACCGAGUCUUAACUGGGCGUUAAGUUGCAGGGUAUAGACCCGAAACCCGGUGAUCUAGCCAUGGGCAGGUUGAAGGUUGGGUAACACUAACUGGAGGACCGAACCGACUAAUGUUGAAAAAUUAGCGGAUGACUUGUGGCUGGGGGUGAAAGGCCAAUCAAACCGGGAGAUAGCUGGUUCUCCCCGAAAGCUAUUUAGGUAGCGCCUCGUGAACUCAUCUUCGGGGUAGAGCACUGUUUCGGCUAGGGGGGCCAUCCCGGCUUACCAACCGAUGCAAACUACGAAUACCGAAGAAUGUUAUCACGGGAGACACACGGCGGGUGCUAACGUCCGUCGUGAAGAGGGAAACAACCCAGACCGCCAGCUAAGGUCCCAAAGUCAUGGUUAAGUGGGAAACGAUGUGGGAAGGCACAGACAGCCAGGGAUGUUGGCUUAGAAGCAGCCAUCAUUUAAAGAAAGCGUAAUAGCUCACUGGUCGAGUCGGCCUGCGCGGAAGAUGUAACGGGGCUAAACCAUGCACCGAAGCUGCGGCAGCGACACUAUGUGUUGUUGGGUAGGGGAGCGUUCUGUAAGCCGUUGAAGGUGGCCUGUGAGGGUUGCUGGAGGUAUCAGAAGUGCGAAUGCUGACAUAAGUAACGAUAAAGCGGGUGAAAAGCCCGCUCGCCGGAAGACCAAGGGUUCCUGUCCAACGUUAAUCGGGGCAGGGUGAGUCGACCCUAAGGCGAGGCCGAAAGGCGUAGUCGAUGGGAAACAGGUUAAUAUUCCUGUACUUGGUGUUACUGCGAAGGGGGGACGGAGAAGGCUAUGUUAGCCGGCGACGGUUGUCCCGGUUUAAGCAUGUAGGCGGAACGAUUAGGUAAAUCCGGUCGUUUAUUAACGCUGAGGUGUGAUGACGAGGCACUACGGUGCUGAAGUAACAAAUGCCUGCUUCCAGGAAAAGCCUCUAAGCAUCAGGUAACAUCAAAUCGUACCCCAAACCGACACAGGUGGUCAGGUAGAGAAUACCAAGGCGCUUGAGAGAACUCGGGUGAAGGAACUAGGCAAAUGGUGCCGUAACUUCGGGAGAAGGCACGCUGAUAUGUAGGUGAAGCCCCUGCGGGUGGAGCUGAAAUCAGUCGAAGAUACCAGCUGGCUGCAACUGUUUAUUAAAAACACAGCACUGUGCAAACACGAAAGUGGACGUAUACGGUGUGACGCCUGCCCGGUGCCGGAAGGUUAAUUGAUGGGGUUAGCGGCAACGCGAAGCUCUUGAUCGAAGCCCCGGUAAACGGCGGCCGUAACUAUAACGGUCCUAAGGUAGCGAAAUUCCUUGUCGGGUAAGUUCCGACCUGCACGAAUGGCGUAAUGAUGGCCAGGCUGUCUCCACCCGAGACUCAGUGAAAUUGAACUCGCUGUGAAGAUGCAGUGUACCCGCGGCAAGACGGAAAGACCCCGUGAACCUUUACUAUAGCUUGACACUGAACACUGGUCCUUGAUGUGUAGGAUAGGUGGGAGGCUUUGAAGUGUGGACGCCAGUCUGCAUGGAGCCGUCCUUGAAAUACCACCCUUUAAUGGCUGGUGUUCUAACGUAGACCCGUGAUCCGGGUUGCGGACAGUGUCUGGUGGGUAGUUUGACUGGGGCGGUCUCCUCCCAAAGAGUAACGGAGGAGCACGAAGGUUAGCUAAUCCUGGUCGGACAUCAGGAGGUUAGUGCAAUGGCAUAAGCUAGCUUGACUGCGAGAGUGACGGCUCGAGCAGGUGCGAAAGCAGGUCAUAGUGAUCCGGUGGUUCUGAAUGGAAGGGCCAUCGCUCAACGGAUAAAAGGUACUCCGGGGAUAACAGGCUGAUACCGCCCAAGAGUUCAUAUCGACGGCGGUGUUUGGCACCUCGAUGUCGGCUCAUCACAUCCUGGGGCUGAAGUAGGUCCCAAGGGUAUGGCUGUUCGCCAUUUAAAGUGGUACGCGAGCUGGGUUUAGAACGUCGUGAGACAGUUCGGUCCCUAUCUGCCGUGGGCGCUGGAGAAUUGAGGGGGGCUGCUCCUAGUACGAGAGGACCGGAGUGGACGCAUCACUGGUGUUCGGGUUGUCAUGCCAAUGGCACUGCCCGGUAGCUAAAUGCGGAAAAGAUAAGUGCUGAAAGCAUCUAAGCACGAAACUUGCCCCGAGAUGAGUUCUCCCUGAGACUUUAAGUCUCCUGAAGGAACGUUGAAGACGACGACGUUGAUAGGUCGGGUGUGUAAGCGCAGCGAUGCGUUGAGCUAACCGAUACUAAUGAACCGUGAGGCUUAACCUUACAACGCCGAAG
rnacentral:rRNA from 2 species